rnacentral:rRNA from 1 species
CGUGUAGGCGGAGAUGCAAGUUGGGAGUGAAAUCCCGGGGCUCAACCCCGGAACUGCUUUCAAAACUGUAUCCCUUGAGUGUCGGAGAGGCAAGCGGAAUUCCUAGUGUAGACGGUGAAAUGCGUAGAUAUUAGGAGGAACACCAGUGGCGAAGGCGGCUUGCUGGACGAUAACUGACGCUGAGGCGCGAAAGCGUGGGGAGCAAACA